GGUGAACGCUGGCGGUGGGCCUAACACAUGCAAGUCGAGCGAACGGACAAUGAGCUUUUGCCUUUGCCGGUAGCGACUGGCGGGUGGGUAACGCGUGCAUCGCCAUCUUCUUUGUCGGGGAUGAUAUCGUGGGGCAACAUCCACUAACAGCGCAUACGUCCUACCGCUGGGAUCAAUGGAUCUUGGCGGCUUUCGCGAUUGUAUGAGACGGUGUCGCAUUAGCUAGUUGGGUGGGUAAAGGCCCACCAAGGCGACGAUCCGUAGCUGGACUGAGAGGAUGAUCAGCCACACUGGAACUGAGACACGGUCCAGACUCCUACGGGAGGCAGCAGUAGGGAAUCUUCGGCAAUGGGCGAAAGCCUGACGCAGCCAUACCGCGUGAGUGAUGAAGGUCUUCGGGUCGUAAAACUCUGUUGUUGGGAAAGAACAGCUGUAUGUGAAACCCUGCACGUUUUGACGGUACCUAAUGAAUAAGCCACGGCUAACUACGUG
rnacentral:rRNA from 1 species